AUUUCACAUAGAUAUCCAGAUCCGGCAUACAUUUAGAAGGUACGAGGAAGUCAGGUGAGAAUCCUGCGCAAUACCCGUUGCUGUAUUGGCGGAGCGGCAUUCCAUUCUGUCCCGGGGACAGAGGCCACUGCGGAGCGAUCCGUGGGAAGGCGGAGUGUACGCGCUGAUGCCUGAGCCAGAAUAUUCGCUUUUAAAUGGAUCUGGAA
rfam:Lachnoclostridium sp. An76 An76_contig_10, whole genome shotgun sequence.